rnacentral:misc_RNA from 1 species
UUUCCGUAGGUGAACCUGCGGAAGGAUCAUUAAAGAAUUUGCCCCGUCCUCUCGAGGAUGGGUCCUCUUCUAAACCGUGUAUACAUACCUUUGUUGCUUUGGCGGGCCGCCGUCUCGGCGUUGGCUUCGGCUGACUGUGCCCGCCAGAGAACCCCAACUCUUCUGUUUAGUAUUGUCUGAGUACUAAAUAAUAGUUAAAACUUUCAACAACGGAUCUCUUGGUUCUG